CCACCCUACCCUAUAUAUGUUACCAGUUAACACAUUGAGCGGGAGAAAUUAAAAACACAAGUAUUCUACGGGUGCAAAAGACACGCUUGUGUAAAAGACAAGCAAUAGACUAACUUGUAUCCGAUGUAUGCCAUUAAAGUCAGAAGUAUCCCAAUUAUAGAAAUGGAUGCCCCGAUGUAUGUUACGAUCAACAUUGUGGAAUAAUUCUGAACUGUGGCGAUGUUUUCUCCAUUACUCGAAUUUGAAUGAUCUAAUAAAAACGAAGAUAAGAGAACGCACGCUUGAACUUGCUUCCUUCCAGUAAAAAGUCAUGGAAAAAAUACAGACACC